UACGUAGGCAGCAAACGUUGUUCGGAAUUACUGGGCGUAAAGAGUGUGUAGGCGGUUCUGUAAGUUUGGUGUGAAAUCUCCCGGCUUAACUGGGAGGUGCGCCGAAAACUGCAAGGCUUGAGUGCUGGAGAGGAUAGCGGAAUCCUGGUGUAGCGGUGAAAUGACGUAGAUAUCAGGAGGAACACCGGCGGUGUAGACGGCUAUCUGGACAGCAACUGACGCUGAGACACGAAAGCGUGGGGAGCAAACAGG
rnacentral:rRNA from 1 species